rnacentral:rRNA from 1 species
UACGAAGGGGGCUAGCGUUGCUCGGAAUCACUGGGCGUAAAGCGCACGUAGGCGGCUUUCUAAGUCAGGGGUGAAAUCCUGGAGCUCAACUCCAGAACUGCCUUUGAUACUGGAGAGCUUGAGUCCGGGAGAGGUGAGUGGAACUCCGAGUGUAGAGGUGAAAUUCGUAGAUAUUCGGAAGAACACCAGUGGCGAAGGCGGCUCACUGGCCCGAUACUGACGCUGAGGUGCGAAAGCGUGGGGAGCAAACAGG